CAGAGAGCAUGGCCCUGAGCCCAAGGAUUUCAGCAGUGGGUUGGACUAUGAAUUAAUGCACAUGGGGAAAUAAAAUGAGAGGCUUAGAACACCAUGCUCUCAAAGCUUACGCUUCUGUUUCCGUCUCCUCUCCGCCGCGCCGGUGGUUUCCUCGACGGCGAAGAUUUUGCAGAAUUCAAAAACUUGACCAUAAAACUCUCCCUCUGCACGUCCUCAAUCUGAAUCCAACAUCAAUUUAACCUACUUCGGCCUCUAAUGUCCUAACCGGACCAAAAUAUGUAUGAACCCUAACCUAAAGAAUCAUAAAUUAAAUUGUUAUGGUGAACGAUUAACUGACGAGACCUUAGGGGUUCUACUCGACGCAUCUCAAACUUUCGCGAUAGCCUACCUACCGAAGUAGUUCUAAUGACUCUUCAACAACAAUGAUAAUACACGAACCAGAGAUCUUCAAGCUCCUUAGGUUGGAAAAGCAGGAAUAUGCAAGAUGGGGACUGAUAUUGCAAAACCAAUGCAUCUGGUUUUGGUCAAUGCUAUCAUGGGCCAAGUGAUUAGGAUAGGUUAAUUAGUUGAUGUAUCUUAGGUUAGGCAUUAGUUUAGGUUCAUUUGGAUGUAAACUUGUAAUGUAUAAUGCACGAUCAUGGAUUUAUGUACAUGAAACAUUUGUAAAUGCAAAUUAGCUUUUGAAUGGAAAGUUAAAAAUCGAGUAAAAAUGGAAA